GAUGAACGCUGGCGGCGUGCUUAACACAUGCAAGUCGAACGGUGAAGCAGGAGCUUGCUCUUGUGGAUCAGUGGCGAACGGGUGAGUAACACGUGAGCAACCUGCCGCUGACUCUGGGAUAAGCGCUGGAAACGGCGUCUAAUACUGGAUAUGUGAUGUGACCGCAUGGUCUGCAUCUGGAAAGAAUUUCGGUUGGGGAUGGGCUCGCGGCCUAUCAGCUUGUUGGUGAGGUAAUGGCUCACCAAGGCGUCGACGGUUAGCCGGCCUGAGAGGGUGACCGGGCACACGUGGACUGAGACACGGCCCAGACUCCUACGGGAGGCAGCAGUGGGGAAUAUUGCACAAUGGGCGGAAGCCUGAUGCAGCAACGCCGCGUGAGGGAUGACGGCCUUCGGGUUGUAAACCUCUUUUAGCAGGGAAGAAGCGAAAGUGACGGUACCUGCAGAAAAAGCACCGGCUAACUACGUGCCAGCCGCCGCAGUAA
rnacentral:rRNA from 1 species